rnacentral:rRNA from 1 species
AGGACGAACGCUGGCGGCGUGCUUAACACAUGCAAGUCGAGCGGAAAGGCCCUUCGGGGUACUCGAGCGGCGAACGGGUGAGUAACACGUGAGCAAUCUGCCCUUAGCUUCGGGAUAGCCCCGGGAAACCGGGAUUAAUACCGAAUACGACCUCGGCCGACAUCUGCUUUGGUGGAAAGUUUUUCGGCUAGGGAUGAACUCGCGGCCUAUCAGCUUGUUGGUGGGGUAAUGGCCUACCAAGGCGACGACGGGUAGCCGGCCUGAGAGGGCGACCGGCCAACGACCUGGGACUGAGACACGGCCCAGACUCCUACGGGAGGCAGCAGUGGGGAAUAUUGCGCAAUGGGCGAAAGCCUGACGCAGCGACGCCGCGUGGGGGAUGAAGGCCUUCGGGUUGUAAACCCCUUUCAGCAGGGACGAAGCGAGAGUGACGGUACCUGCAGAAGAAGCGCCGGCUAACUACGUGCCAGCAGCCGC